rnacentral:rRNA from 1 species
AUUGCCCUAGUAACGGCGAGUGAAGCGGCAACAGCUCAAAUUUGAAAUCUGGCUCUUUUAGGGUCCGAGUUGUAAUUUGCAGAGGGCGCUUUGGCGUUGGCAGCGGUCCAAGUUCCUUGGAACAGGACGUCACAGAGGGUGAGAAUCCCGUACGUGGUCGCUGGCCUUCGCCGUGUAAAGCCCCUUCGACGAGUCGAGUUGUUUGGGAAUGCAGCUCUAAAUGGGAGGUAAAUUUCUUCUAAAGCUAAAUACUGGCCAGAGACCGAUAGCGCACAAGUAGAGUGAUCGAAAGAUGAAAAGCACUUUGGAAAGAGAGUCAAAUAGCACGUGAAAUUGUUGAAAGGGAAGCGCUUGCAGCCAGACUUGCCUGUAGUUGCUCAUCUGGGCUUUUGUCCAGUGCACUCUUCUACAGGCAGGCCAGCAUCAGUUUGGGCGGUUGGAUAAAGGUCUCUGUCACGUACCUCCCUUCGGGGAGGCCUUAUAGGGGAGACGACAUGCAACCAGCCUGGACUGAGGUCCGCGCAUCUGCUAGGAUGCUGGCGUAAUGGCUGUAAGCGGCCCGUCUUGAAACACGGACCAAGGAGUCUAACAUCUAUGCGAGUGUUUGGGUGUCAAGCCCGGACGCGUAAUGAAAGUGAACGGAGGUGGGACCCCUUUUAGGGUGCACCAUCGACCGAUCCUGAUGUCUUCGGAAGGAUUUGAGUAAGAGCAUGGCUGUUGGGACCCGAAAGAUGGUGAACUAUGCUUGAAUAGGGUGAAGCCAGAGGAAACUCUGGUGGAGGCUCGCAGCGGUUCUGACGUGCAAAUCGAUCGUCAAAUUUGGGCAUAGGGCGAAAGACUAAUCG